rnacentral:rRNA from 1 species
UACGUAGGGUCCGAGCGUUUGUCCGGAAUUACUGGGCGUAAAGAGCUCGUAGGUGGUUUGUCGCGUUGUUCGUGAAAACUCACAGCUCAACUGUGGGCGUGCGGGCGAUACGGGCAGACUUGAGUACUGCAGGGGAGACUGGAAGUUCCUGGUGUAGCGGUGGAAUGCGCAGAUAUCAGGAGGAACACCGGUGGCGAAGGCGGGUCUCUGGGCAGUAACUGACGCUGAGGAGCGAAAGCAUGGGGAGCGAACAGG